UGUGUCUUCCUGAUAUAACCAAACCACUAUAACCAACCGAGAACAAUCAACGUCGAAAAAGGCACCCGCAUCUCUACAACGGUGGAAGACUAGUAGACUUAAUAUUUAGGAGGAGAUUUGGGUUUCGAUCUCUUCUAAUUAGUUACAUACAUUUGAUGUAAUGACUAAUCUAAUUUGGAUUAGCACAUUUCAUGUCUAACCAACC
rnacentral:lncRNA from 1 species